rnacentral:sRNA from 1 species
UUACCUCAAUGUCGAACGAUUUCGAUCCU